rnacentral:rRNA from 1 species
UAAGGAAUAUUGGUCAAUGGACGAAAGUCUGAACCAGCCAUGCCGCGUGAAGGAUGAAGGUCCUCUGGAUUGUAAACUUCUUUUAUCUGGGACGAAAAAAGGGAAUUCUUUCUCACUUGACGGUACCAGAAGAAUAAGCACCGGCUAACUCCGUGCCAGCAGCCGCGGUAAUACGGAGGGUGCAAGCGUUAUCCGGAUUCACUGGGUUUAAAGGGUGCGUAGGUGGGCAGUUAAGUCAGUGGUGAAAUCUCCGGGCUUAACCCGGAAACUGCCAUUGAUACUAUCUGUCUUGAAUACUCUGGAGGUAAGCGGAAUAUGUCAUGUAGCGGUGAAAUGCUUAGAUAUGACAUAGAACACCGAUUGCGAAGGCAGCUUACUACGGAGUCAUUGACACUGAGGCAC